rnacentral:rRNA from 1 species
GAUGAACGCUGGCGGCGUGCUUAAUACAUGCAAGUCGAGCGAACAGACGAGGAGCUUGCUCCUCUGACGUGAGCGGCGGACGGGUGAGUAACACGUGGAUAACCUACCUAUAAGACUGGGAUAACGUCGGGAAACCGGAGCUAAUACCGGAUAAUAUAUUGAACCGCAGGGUUCAAUAGUGAAAGACGGUUUUGCUGUCACUUAUAGAUGGAUCCGCGCCGCAUUAGCUAGUUGGUAAGGUAACGGCCUACCAAGGCAACGAUGCGUAGCCGACCUGAGAGGGUGAUCGGCCACACUGGAACUGAGACACGGUCCAGACUCCUACGGGAGGCAGCAGUAGGGAAUCUUCCGCAAUGGGCGAAAGCCUGACGGAGCAACGCCGCGUGAGUGAUGAAGGUCUUCGGAUCGUAAAACUCUGUUAUUAGGGAAGAACAAAUGUGUACGUAACUAUGCACGUCUUGACGGUACCUAAUCAGAAAGCCACGGCUAACUACGUG